CCAACCUUCCUUUUAUGGUCAUAAACCUUGUGUUUAAAUUUCAUAGAUUUCUAUUUACUUAUACUAAAGUUAUGGUGCGAAAACCAAGAAUAAUGCUUAUUUGGGCCCCUUUUUUGCCCCUAAUCCUAAACUGUUGGGACCUCAACUCCCAAAAUCAAUCCCAACCUUCUUUUGUGGUCAUAAAACCUUGUGUUUACAUUUCAUUGAUUUCUAUUUACUUAUACUAAAGUUAUGGUGCGAAAACCAAGAAUAAUGCUUAUUUGGGCCCCUUUUUGGCCCCUAAUUCCUAAACUGUUGGGACCUCAACUCCCAAAAUCAAUCCCAACCUUCCUUUUGUGGUCAUAAACCUUGUGUUUACAUUUCAUUGAUUUCUAUUUACUUAUACUAAAGUUAUUGUGCGAAAACCAAGAAUAAUGCUUAUCUGGGCCCUUUUUUGGCCCCUAUUUUAUAAACUGUUGGAACCAAACAUCCCAAAAUCAAUCCCAACCUUCCUUUUG
rnacentral:lncRNA from 1 species